GCUGUAGCUCACGAAAGCUUAUGCUCAAAUAAAUUGGUUAGUCUCUAAGGUGCCACAAGUACUCCUUUUCUUUUUACAUUUAAAUCCGUUUAAGAGUGCUUUAAAAAUAGCUUAAAUUUAGUUUGUUGCUGAUCAGAAACCAAUUUAAUUAAGUCUGUAUAAAAGCUGCAUAUACAUGGAGCCUAAGCUUAAUAAAUCAGUCAAUCAAAUCAAGCUCCGGUGUUUUCACAGUCCAGCCCAGCUGUUCCUGGGCUCCUUUCAACUGCCAGCAUUGCUUCUCUCAGAUUAACUGGGUUUCCUUGUGCUGUCUCUUCUCUGGGUGUGGAGAACAUCCCCACAAGUGCACUCUGAUCUAGCACCAGACAUGUCCUUGCACAAGCCCCCCAUAUCUCCUGCCUCCAGCCCCUGCCGACUGCUGUCCAGGAAGGAGUGCACUAGGUCGGGAGCACUCAGUGGGGUCCGUCAUGGAGGAAUUACACAUAACAAGGGGAACAUGGACCCAGCUCCACAAAGGUGUUCAGGUGCCUCUCUGCCUCAUCAGGCACCUAAUUCUGCCACUGGGCAUCACUGACAUCGUCAAAGCUGCCACCUAACCCCAUAGGCACCUAUGUCCUCCCAGCACCUAUGUUUCCACUGGUCGACAUUCUCAAAUCUGCCUAGAGGCUGACACCACCCCACAGCUACGGAGUCACUCAGUGCCCCCGCUCAAGCCAGCGCCCCAGAAAUCAGAUUCUUAAAUGAGGCUGGGGAAUCCUUGCUCCCCAGCCAGGCCCGAUCCUGUAGGGGUGCUCUGAGCACCCGUAACAUCUGUUAGGUCACAGGUCCUGCAGCAGGAGGGCCAGAGAUGGAGGGAGUCGGGGAAGCACAGCUCCCACACACAAGACAGCUGGGGGCACAGGGAAACAUAGGGUGAGCAUGAGAGAUGGACCGGGUAUGACCAGGAGACAGCAGAGAGAGAGAGACGGUUUAGGCUGCUCCAGCCUGGGCUAUCUGAGCGGCUGACCUGACCUGAUGCCAGGAGAGGAUUUGCAGCUGAGGAUCCCAAAUGGAGAGAGCGCCCCGAGCCACAUGGGUAAUUAGGCCAUUAACCCAAGACCUAGGUGCUAAAUCCCUGUUUUAUGCUCCUCUGUGACACACAGAACUCCCACUGAACCCUGUAGGAGCCUAAACUCACUCCGCCCCUAAGUAUGCAGAGUGACAGUUCCCUCAGCACCUACAUGUCUCUGGGCAUGCGUACAGCUGCCGCACUCUGGGUAUCCUGACCCCUAUGUGCCCUGCCUCAGCCCCAGAGUGAUCCAUGGAGAAAGGCAGGUGUUCAGCCGCCUAUGAUCCAGUGGGUGGCUGCUGAGAACACCUACCAGAUCAGGUCCCAUCCAAAAUCUGGCUGAGGGACUAUCUCUCUUAUAACUUUUAGCCCAGUCGUUAGAAGCCCCACAUCAGAAUAUCCCAUAGGCCAGGGCACUCAGCUAAGACUUAGGAAAUUCCCAUUCAAAUUCUCUUUUCCCCGACAUGGCAGAAUUGAACAUGGAUCUCCAACACGAAUGGUGUCACCACUGCCUCCUCCAGCCAUUGUGCAUGGAGCGAGACAGGUGCCUAAUGCAUUCUUGCAAUAACUGGCCCCACCUGACUCCAGGCAGAGGGCUCCUGGACAUGGCUCACAAGCAGAGCUGGGCACCUCCCUGCAGCCUGGACUUACACAUCUAACUCAGUGAGAGGAGUGGAGUUUAGAACACACCCCUCAGCUGGGCACCUCCAGUUGGCUAGUCAAGGCAAGGCACCAUCUAGCAUGCUGGGUUUUGUGGCUCUCUUUCAGGGGCACCUAUCUCAAUCUCAGCCCAUUCAUUGGAGAGGGGGCCCAGGCACCAACAUCAGGCUCUGUGGAUCAUGGUGCUGUUCCUGUGAUUUCCUUGGCACCCAAACGCUGAGCCCCACCAUGCCCGAGUCCCUCUGUGGAUCUGGGUUGUGAUUCCCCCGCCCUUGGCAAUAAUCAGAGCAUUCUCAUGUCAGGAGCUAAUGAAUCUCUGCUCCCCUCGGGACAGAAAUGCAGUACAGGGGGGAUCCAGCCAGAGACCUUCUCUCCUUCCUGAGCAGAGAGAAACCUCCAGAGCGAAUGGACCAGAGAGAGCCCAGAGAAACCUGCCCCCUGCUGCCAGCUGGGGCUUUGGGCAGCCCCGGGGGCCAGGUGCCCAUCAGCACCAGGAACCUUUUAUUUCAGGCAUUCCCCAAGGUCACUGCAGCUCUUCAUUCCCCUCUACCUGCCCUAUUUACACUCAUGCCCCAGACAUGCACCUCCACAAUGGCCAGGAGUAUGGGGUCGGAGUCACGUUCUUGUUGUUUAAAUGAUAGAAAGACUCACAAGAGAGAGAGGACAGUGAGACACGGACAGCUGGGUCCCUGCAAAUAAGGGCUCUGGACAGCUGCACUGGGCCCAGCCUUCCAGGCGGGGUCUGCACAGGGCCCUAUUGGGUAUUGUGCAAGUAGAUAAAGGGAAUUUGGAUGCAGGCCUCUGAAAUGAGCAGGAGUCAGGCUAACUCUAGCUUUAAUAACGUGAGAUUUGUAGAAGCAGGGAUAGUGAGAAGCGAGUGGAAAACAACUGUGAAAGAGGCUGUUGUGACCUUGUAUUAGGUAAGAAUAGAAUGCAGACUAUAGGAGAAAUGGUUAGAAAAAUAAGACAUCAUGAAGGAAUAUGUAUAAACAAUAUGCAGUUGUUGCUUAUUAUUGUCUGUAAUAAAGGUAUAAAUACUCGCUCUAAUUGUUUAUCUGGGAGAGACCUGCCCAGGUGGGGGAAACCCUUUGUCCUAGUGCACUCUCUCCCUCUGUGCAAUUGCUUGAGAUAAUAAACUGUUUCUGACUUGCUGCACCCAACCUGAGAGUGAGAACGGUGUCUUUCUCCGACAAUUUGGGGGCUCGUCCGGGAUGGCAACGCCCGCUGAGACAACAGCAGCUGCUACGGAUCAUUCCCCUUCUAACCCCAUGGUGCCACAAUAGAGGUGAAAGAAGCACUACCCAAGGAUCCUGAACAACCCUGCCACUCGCUAGAACCCAGUCUACAUAAAGGUCCAUCAGCAAAAGACUGCCCUGGCUCCACGCUGGAAAGGCCCUUAUUACGUCCUGCUAACUACCAACACAGCUGUGAAAUGCCAAGGACUGACUGCCUGGACCCAUGCUUCUUACUGCAAAAAGACCCCUCCGCCUCGAGAUGACUUCACUUUGACUACUUAUCAGCCUGUCCCUCCUUCUGUUUUUUCUUUCCUCCUUUUGGACAGCAGGGGAAAGGAUAAGAUGAAGUGCUAGUAACCUCUCCCUUGUCCACUGACAGAGCUAACCUGCAUUCAGCAUUUGCUAAAGAAACCAAAGCACUACAGGGUGACGUGCUAGUAACGUCUCCUCUGUAUAAUGCAAAACCACAACUGUUCCGAGAGAGAAGAAGGAACGCCCGCUCUGCUGAAACCACCAAGAUCCAAGGAUUCCUGACUACAAAAGACAUUGAAAAUUGGCCUUGGUGGCGAAGACGGAGCAUUGUACAUUGGCAGGGAGGGAGUUGUGGGAUGUAUUCUUGGAAAUGUGGAGUGAAGUGGUGGGGUGGGUUUAUUCCAGGGGCUGGAAUCUGUGAUUAUGGGCAAGUACCAUCAGAAUGCACUGCCCUCCCUAAUUGGCUUCCGGGUGAUGAAUACCAAAAACGCCUUACUGCCAUGAACAUUACUCCCACCAUCCCCUCCACCUUUGCCACCACUCCUGUAAGUUACCCAAAUACAAAUGAUACUGUAUAUUCUAACGAAACCUAUUGGCCAAGACCUUCACAUCUAAGUGAUUUAUUGAAAUGUUGUUCAGAAAAUUUAUUUUUUUAAGGUUCAGAAUAGUUCAUAUGAGAGAACAAUUGAAUGGAAAACAAAUGGAUCAGUGGAAAUAGAAAUAUAUGAUAUCACUACAGAUGAACCCCGAGAAUCAGAAAUUGAGAUUAGUGGGUUCUAUAGCGAAGUAGAUAUGGUGGUCAUUCCUGGACUCUGUAAAAUGUUAGAUGAAAGAGGCCCUCAUUGUUAUUUGGUCACCCAAUUAGUGAAUAACCAAACAUAUACCCAAAGAGUUUGUUCUGUCACUGGAAAUUUUACCUCUACUGAAAUUAUUCCAGUAACUAAUAAUUUAACCUGUACCAUAUUGCAAUAUACCCCCUCUUAUGCCAUUGAUGCUAAUGCCUCUCAGAAGUAUAUGAAAGUGUUUAGCCAACAGAUGUGGUAUAGUACUGUACCAGAAAGAGAUGUAGUAGGAUAUCAACGGACUGUGAUUAAUGCUACAUUAGGGACUAUAAAAUUCACACUGCCCUUGUCCAGUUUCAGAUUACCUCUACAUAUCCAAAUUGCUCAAAAGGGUCUGCCAUUAGGGUAACACAACAAAGGGCCUGGGUUUCCUCUAGAAAGAAAAGGGACUUAGCUGGAUCCGUAUGGGAUGGAGUCAAUAGUGCGGCAGCAAUUUGGAAUAUUUAUAGAAACCAAGAACAUGAAGAGAAAUUAGGACAAUUGGAAAAAGCCACUGGCCUUAUAACUGGAGCACAACUAACCCAGGUUCAGGCUGGAGUGGGUGAAUUACGUGUUAUCUCCACCCUUAGUUCGAUGACCCAGAAGCUGUUAACAGAGGUACUGAAUAUCACUGAGGCUGAGAAGGCAUUGCAGUGGGAUCUGGCUUGCUCAGAAAUCCAGGAUUUCCUGAAUGACCAGCUGAUGGUCAUUCAGAGUGAUCUUGAGCAUGAAGCCUGGCCGACUGCCCUUACAGACACUUCAGGAGUAUCAUCUGAUUUGUGGCCAUGGAGACACACUUGGAGAUUUUCUGAGUGGAGGUGGACCCAUAUCCUGCUGGGUCUGUGGGGAGGAUGCAUGUGGACUGGGUAAUUCACCGAGACAUUUGGGAACUUAGACUACCUGGUAUGGCUAAUAGAUUUUUAGUCAGUGCUCCCAGAAUAACACCCAACAUUUGGAUAGGGAGAGGGAGUCAAUGGACAUUCUGGCCAUUAGAACCCCCACAGCUUCAGUGUGUACUUAAACUGAAGCCAGAGGAAGUUGUCACUGUUCAUGAUAACAUUUGUUGGGAGGGUAUGGGACAAGGAACUACCCUGACAGGACACCUACUCUUCCAAGCUAAUGAUAGAUGUGUGCAUGUUGAGGCCACCAUAUUACAAGAUAUUCAUUUUAAUCUCACCACUGCUGCAGGCCUGCGGAUAGAAUUUUUCAAUCAGCCCUUAGGUUUCAGAUACCCUUUAACUGGACCACCCUAAUACCUGAUUGAUUCCAAAAUUUACUUUCACUCCUACCAGAGAUUCAGAAAAUUUCUGAGUUACAAGGGCAACUUCAUAUGCUUCAAAAUAUAUAUCAAGUUGAAAAGUAUGCCUUUCAUACCGCUUAUAGAGUGUCUUCUUAUGUACUACGUAUGAUGUAUUGUGUUUUGUGACUAAAACUGUGCAACAACCCCAUUGUAGUAUUAUUGUGGGCAUGUUAUUGCUUGUACUGUUGUUAUUGGGUUUAGGAUUAUGUUAUUGUUGUUAUAAAGGACGUAAUAAUAAUAAUACUUUCCAUGUCCAUAUUAACCAUGCAUUGUCAUUGUAUCCAAUUAAAACCCCUAAGUAUCUGAUGCAGAGUUUGAAAUACAAAAUUUAAUGAAAAUGGAAGUUUAAAAUUAAUAUUUGUGCUGGAAGCACAAAAGGGGGGAGUAUGGAAGUAGAUAAAGGGAAUUUGGAUGCUGGCCUCUGAAAUGAGCCGGAGUCAGGCUAACUCUAGCUUUAAUAACGCGAGAUUUGUAGAAGCGGAGAUAGUGCGAAGCGAGUAGAAAACAACUGUGAAAGAGCCUGUUGUGACCUUGUAUUAGAUAAGAAUAGAAUGCAGACUAUAAGAGAAAUGGUAAGAAAAAUAAGAUAUCAUGAAGGAAUAUGUAUAGACAAUAUGCAGUUGUUGCUUAUUACUGUCUGUAAUAAAGGUAUAAAUACUCGCUCUAAUUGUUUAUCUGGGAGAGACCUGCCCAGGUGGGGGAAACCCUGUGUCCUAGUGCACCCUCUCCCUCCAUGCAAUUGCUUGAGACAAUAAACUGUUUCUGACUUGCUGCACCCAA